ensembl:snRNA U1 U1 spliceosomal RNA
UCACUUACCUGGCAGGAGAUACACCAUGAUCAUGAAGGUGGUUUUCCCAGGGUGGGGCUCAUCCAUUGCACUCUGUCUGAAGCGGUAAGAUAUCUUCCUCUUUGCUGUCACAGACUCAGACAAAAUAUGAUUCAUGUCCCAAUAGAUCAUCUGUUCAUACUACUCCAUU